ACUUUCUUGACAAGAGGACACUGGAAGGCCAAGUUGUGUGUGAGGAGAGCAUUCAGUCCAGCUUCCUGUCUGGCCUUGCUACUGUUCACUGCAUAUUAUUACAUAUUCAAUCAGGAGAAGCCAGCCUGCACCUUGGAGUUCAUUUAAAGAGAGGAACAAAGAAGAAAAUUGCCAUCUAAAAGGACAGGGCAAAUGGUACAGAAGAAACAGGUUGCAGUGAACCCACAUGUUGCCACUCUUCCCUGCAAAGUGGUGUGUUCAGUGGAAUUUCUGAAACCCACUCUUUGCAUCCUGUGAUGGAACAGCAUCCGGAGCUGAAUUAUUCUCCAUUUUUGAUCAUACGUUUUUUGGACUCACUUGGGGCCUUGUUGUUUGGACAUGUUUGUCUGGGAACGAAGAGGUGACAAUUCAUUCAUGUCUGUUUUUAUUUUUUAUUUUUUUCAGAACCAUUUUAUUAUGAUCAUGUUGGUCAACUUGUCGUUUUAAAUGUCAUUUGCGUAUUUCUUCUUUGUGUGAAGGGCCCUGAUGGCUUAUUUGUUUUAAGUAAUUAAAAAAAA